rnacentral:rRNA from 1 species
UACGGAGGGGGCUAGCGUUGUUCGGAAUUACUGGGCGUAAAGCGUGCGUAGACGGUUAUUUAAGUCAGAUGUGAAAGCCCCGGGCUCAACCUGGGAAUUGCAUUUGAGACUGAAUAGCUAGGGUGCGGUAGAGGGAAGCGGAAUUUCCGGUGUAGCGGUGAAAUGCGUAGAUAUCGGGAGGAACACCUGAGGCGAAGGCGGGCUACUGGGCCGAUACUGACGCUGAUGCGCGAAAGCCAGGGGAGCGAACGGG